ACAGAGGUCUCAAGCGUUGUUCGGAAUCACUGGGCGUAAAGCGUGCGUAGGCGGUUUCGUAAGUCGUGUGUGAAAGGCGGGGGCUCAACCCCCGGACUGCACAUGAUACUGCGAGACUAGAGUAAUGGAGGGGGAACCGGAAUUCUCGGUGUAGCAGUGAAAUGCGUAGAUAUCGAGAGGAACACUCGUGGCGAAGGCGGGUUCCUGGACAUUAACUGACGCUGAGGCACGAAGGCCAGGGGAGCGAAAGG
rnacentral:rRNA from 1 species